rnacentral:misc_RNA from 1 species
AGAUCACACGAUUUUAAUGGAUAUUUCUCAUUUCUCACACUGUCUCCUUGCUGAUUGGGUAUAACAUGAACCUUUGUUGGUAAGUGUUCGUGCUUUCAUGUAUUUUAUGUUUCUCCUAUGAUCCCUACCCUCACACACACACAUCCGAAAAAAGAAAAGGAAUUUACAUAGCCAUAGUGGGUGCAGGUGCUGUGAAUGAAAGAUGAAUAUGCUAUCUUGAAAUAGGACUUAGUUGCUAUCUAUGCAGGAUUAUGGAAUUUUCUUUAAUUUUAUGAAUUGAAUGUUUAAAGUAUCCAAUUAUUGUCUCAAAUCUGAAUCCUGAAAAUCUGGUCCAAAGGGGGAUGAGAAUUACAUAUGUAAUUUUACGUUCCAAAUUAGUUAUGGUAACUGAAUUCUUUGAUGCAACUAAAGAUAGAUGAGAGAGAGUAUCAAAUCAGAAAUUCGAUGAUCUGGUUAAGGUAGUUUUAUGUGUUUGUAGUCAUAUCUGAUAAAUAGUUUUUACUGAUCUGGAGACUGCUUUGGUGUGGAAAGUUAAUUUUGCGAUGGCACAUAUCCAAAUAGUUCCCUUAUCAGAGUUAUAUGUUGAGAAGUUUUGUGAUGAAUUACUCAUUGUAGGUUUUCUAUGAAAUCUGAUGACUAUCAUCUGCAGAGAUUUGAGAAAUUUGAUGAAUAAAAAUAUCUUGUUAUAAAUGAGGUGAAUGCACAUUCAUGGGACUAUCUAUUAACUUAAUAGGUGGCACAAGAACUUUUGGAUCAAACUUUUGAUGCCUGUUGAUGAUGAAUAUUAUAUAUUUUGAGGACUUGUUUUUGGAUCAAUGCUGACUUGACAUGGUCAAAAUUUACCUAUUCGGAAUGCAUUCUCACAUAUAUAUUGUUUUAGUAAACUAAUUGGAAAGUGUUGAAGGAGAAAAUGCAUGGAGAAUAUUUGCAUAUCAAUUUCUUGUUAUUUUUGACUUUGUUAAGAAAACCCAAUAUCAUGUUUCUUGGUUUUAGAUGAGAUGAACUGUUUA